rnacentral:lncRNA from 7 species
CGGGCGAACACCGAAACCAAAUCGCCACCGCUAGCGCCAUGUCCAGGGCGGUGAAAGCACGCCACCAUCGACCGCGUGCUACGCUGUAGCCGUGACCUGGAGAUACCGCCCAAAAGGUUCGCCUUGUUGUGCCGCGCGUGCGCGACCACCUCGGGAGGGCGGAAACCAGCCGUUCGUUCCUCAAUUGCUCGCCGACGUCGAGGAACCCUGGGCUUUCCGCCGUGUGCCGUGGUCGGGUCGUCUGAGUGCAUAAUCCGUGGUAUGGCCACGACCUUGUUACCCACCACUUUCCCCUCUCCGUUUUGCGCAUAAUCGCGUAGGGUUUAGAGCUCGCCAGCGCUCGUGCGGGAUUCACCAUCAAUGGUGCCGCCGUUGUGGGUGCUCUCCAUCAUCGGCAGUGUGUCGGGGGGGAAGAAGACCCUUCCGCCGUGGAUCAAUGGAUGAACGGUUGUGAUUAGAAGGUUCGCAUACCCUUUCAUGGUCAGAUCUGUGCCGUCCGAUUCAAAUCGUGUGUAUGGGGGGCAAUCUUAGCACUUUAACUCCCAGGCCGUUGAUCUCAGAUCCUGUGGUCAUAAAAGGGUAUCGGUUCACAUGAUGGCUGACUUUGACCCUAGGGGUCCGAUGUAGAUCUAGCGGCUCACAACAGAAAAUACCUCUUUGGCCCAACCACUUUACUAAAGAGACCCUGGAUUUAUUAGCAUUUAACCUGUAGUCCACCUCGGGUUAACCUGAGUCUUAGAA